GGACAACGAUGUACGUGUAUGGUUCAGCAACAAGAGUACGCGCAACUGGCCUAUGCCUAGACUGGAAUACAGCGACACGGAAAAAAUGGAUGCCUUGGGUGGACCAUCGAAGGCUUGGGUCACUCUCUACUGACAUCAGCACCAGCCACGUGUUCUUGUUUCUGUGAUCGCUUUCCUUUGAACUCGGAAUCUCUGACUGUACGAACGCCGGCAUCUGCAUUCUCUCCAGCUCUGCUGUAAGCCGUCGCAGGAUGUUGAUGACGUUGUUCUUGUCCAGGUAUCACUGAGUUUGGCUGCUGGCAAUGCAGUUUGUGCACAAACAAUUGCUGGGGUGGACGCUUCUCUUUCCAUUUAAAUCUUCUGUGUAAACAGCCGCGGUGCACCGUUCGCAGCGGUAACACUUGGCUGUGUUCGGGUAUUACCGUACGUCCACGACAGCGCCUCCUCCAAGCACCGCCUUGAGGCGUCAGAAGCUUGCUUCAUCGCUCGCUACAUGCCCUUCACAUAUAGAGAAGGCGAACCUCAGUGCCUCCCUCCCUUUCUAUGUCCUGUUCCGUACGCGAAUAUCCUGGGCUUCUUUGCGACGAUACCCUCUGCAAGUACUUUAUCCACAGCGCGCGCAUGCGCAUACGGUCGCAUUCAGUAGGAGAUUUGUGCCUCGUAACCUCGCCCAUGAUGAAGCGAGCCCCGACAGGAGAAUCCAAGCUGGAGGACAAGUCGAGAAACUUUGUAUCGUCUACGCUGUGUCCGUGCACGGCGGUGACGCAGUCUCCACUGUAAGCGAUCACUGCAGUGACUCAGGUUCGAGUCCAAGAGCCCUGUAUCCAAACAGAAGAGACGGAAGCCUCUAGAAGCGUAUCCUAUCAGAGGUAUUAUGCUGCAUUCGAAUGCCGCUUCGUCGAUGGCUACGAAGGGGUGAGCAUCUCUCCUUCGAACGGAAUCGAUUAUUUGAAGUGACAACUUCAGCGCACUUUCCGCAUGCGCACAUGAACAAGUUGUCGAGCAGCGAGGUCGAGUUUUGAUCGUCGUCAAUCCAUUGGUGCAAAUUGCUGCACCUCGAGUUGCCUUGAACCAGGGAGAUCGAAAACGUGAAGAAUGCCUGAUUUCAGCAUGCAACCCGAGGGGAAAAGAGAAGCGUGCAUGCAUAUGGUUAUGAAUUUGAGGGUGUUUCGCGUUAGCUCACAAAGCCUCGUUUGCCAGCGUUUCGAAUCAUCUUGAUUCCUGCAAUGUCAUUGAAUUCUAGCUUUAGAGCGAGUGGAAGGGGCGACUCCGAAACACCGACGGACAACCCCGAAACUAUUUACGAAUCAUAAUCGUUUAUUUCUGGAAUGCGAAUGUCGAGGGUGUACAUAUGAAAAAAAAGACGGAGAAUAUCGCAAGACUGAGCACGCGCGAGCACUUCAGUGUUCCAGGUUAAUCUGAAACGGGUACAGAGCCCCGUACGAGCAGGCACGUUAUUCAUUUGUGUCGUAUUCGGAGCGUGCCUUCCUGAGCGCGAGUUUACCAAUAAACUGAUAACUACUCGUGGCAAUGCACAUAACGGAGCUGACACGUAUUUCUGGUGCAUCUGGGCACCGGUGAAAGACGAGCUCAGCCUGGAGCUGACUCUGGAAGAAAUCGGCGGUCUACAUCUGAAACUGCCACUGCCGUACUGCCUUUUUUAGGCCGUCAGAGAUGCCUUGUCAUCGGGCAAUCACGAGGCAAAGUAUGAUUGCGUUCGCUGGCCUUCAAGAUGGUCGAACCAGGGCACCAGCUGAGAGCAUACAUUGGGUUUAGCGCGAGUGAAUGCUUGAAGCGGGCCCCGAGGUUCUCUCCCUGAAAUGCGCGGCCCCACCUUUUUUCAAUCAAUAUCGACGGGUGUUGCGGUUUCCGCUUGGCUACGAUUCAGGUCGCGAAUGAGAUGUUCGAUUUGCGUUGCAGCGUUCUCUAUGACCUGGUAUGGAACAGCACGGCAGGGUUGAUACGAUUUCGAAAACCAAUGUCUUUGCUACUCAUUGCGGGCGUUGCAAUAAAGUCUUUCCACCAGGGGAUGUCCAUUCC